UCUGACACCUGAUACGUCUCACAGAACGACUUAAUUCCGUCCAUGUUUCGUCUUCACGUACCGGAGGCUGCGCUCCUGUCCGCGGAAAAGGAAACCUGCACGAGAACAGGGUCCCGCUCGGUUACCCCUGUUUUCUGCUCCUGGAUACUGUGUUUCAUCUUCCAUCCCAGAGAAAUGAUGGUGCAAGAUGGGAUGCCCUGGAAACCAAAUGCAGAGCUUGGCAUUUGCAGGUUCUUCUCGCCGUGCCAGAAAAGCUGCUCACACUCAGUACUGGAUAAGGGCUGGAUCUUCCUUUGCAGGAAAACUUGCAGGUACUUGACAAACAUCAUGUUUUGAAAAUAAUGGCUUGAGCCCAUCCUGCCCGAUUAAAGAGGCUGCAUUUAUAUCCACGGGCAGCAAUAGAAGGGUUUAAGAAAGCAGUUUAUAUUUGCAUGCAGGCAGCUGUGUGUAAAAACAGAGAGGAGAGUCCUCCUCCAGGAUGGGGCACGUGAAAUAAUGCAGCAAACCUCCUGCAAAAGCUGCUUGUGUACUACAAGCUCGUGUGAUGGUUCUGUGUCCUCUGUUGUAACAAGAUAUUUGCAUGAGGCUUCCUUCCUUCUUCAAGGCUGUUUCCUGCUGCUAGUUGCUUAUACUUUCAGUUCUGUUGUUGAACUUAACUGUAAGGAUAGGAUUUUAGAACAAAGGGGAAAGCAACAAGAGAAAAAAACCUCUCUGAUUUCAAAUCUAACUUGAUAACUUUGUGAAAGAAACAGUGACUGAGCAAAGUGUCCUCACUGAGCAGGGGUUGGGCUCUACCCUCUCCUCCCUGUGGCCUCAGAAGUCACUUAAGAAGAGCAGUGUGGACCAUUACAGUUCCUGCAUGUUGCUUCUGCCUGACUUGGGCCAGGAGGUUUCCUUCAGACAGGGGCAGGUGCAGAUAAUGAAUACAACUCCUUUCCAUGAGAAGUGUGGGGUGUUCUUCCAGUGCAGUCAGAACUGAAUCUUUGCUUUUCCCCUGCUCUUCCUGUUUGGGAGGUGCUGUGCUUCAGAAGCUCGUUGCCACCUGACCCUUUAUGCUGUUGAGCAGAAGAAAACAAUUUAAACCUCACUUUUGUGUAUUUCAAGAAAUCUGAUGUUGGCAUCUCAGCCACUUCAAGCCAUGUGGGAGAAGACAAGGAGAUCAAGUGCAUAUGUAUGUAUUUUGAUGCCACGUGUGGGGAAACCUGUUCACUGUGAUCUCCUGCAAAACACACUGUGAACUCCUGCAAAAAUGAUUGUGAAAACUCCCUCUCCUGAGCAGUGAGGGGCUGGGGGAGACUUGGUUUGGAGAGGGAUGGUCACUACAGCUGUGGGCAGAGCGGGCAGCAGACUGUGGUCAUUGUGGAAUGUUCUCUGGAACACAUUUGUCUGUAGGGAUGAGUUCCAGGCUGGUACAGCCUUGCCUGCAUCCUCCCCUCGAUGUGCCUUUGACUGGGUGUUGCCCAGCUGAGCAUGUUUAAUGCCCUAUAUUAGAUUUUGUGCCUUGUCAGCACAGGAUCAGCAGCUGGAGUUUUGCAAUGGCAAGCGGUUGUGGAGCUGCUGUUCCUGAAAGGCUGCAUGGCUCAGAAAGGCAGGAUGGUGGUUAUGAAGAUUUAAAUUUUUUAAUAAAAUAUUUAACUAAUAGAGUAUGUAACUAAAAAAAUAUUUAACCAACUUUAUUUUUAUCUAACUUUAUUUUUAAAGAAGAAAAUGCUUGACCAGUGUCCCAUUUGCAAGAUGUCUUCAUUUACUUUUCAGGAAUCUUAUAAGAGCACAGACAAUGUGGCUUUAGAUCUUCAUUUGAGGUGCUCAUCUUAAAAGUAACAGGUUUGUUCUUGGGAAGAUCUUGUUGAGGAGAAACACAUUUUCAUAGUAAUUUUAACUUGAAGACAAUCUUGUUAUAGAAUCUCAACUCUGAUUAUUCAGUGAAAAUCCAGUGAACACAGUGCAGAGUUGAAUCCAUGGAUUUUUCAGGAGUGGUGGUUCCUUGGUUUGUGUGCCCACCAUGUGCUUUCCCGGUGCCCAUGGUGGCCCUGCAGUGUUGGUGUUUCUUGGCUUGUCUUCGACACGAGUAAUUUUUCAGGGAACUAGAAGAAAGUACGAGCAAGGCUCUGGAAACUACAUCACAUGAACCAGUAAUUUAUAAAACGUGGUUGGUGGCUUGCUGGUCACUUUGAUAAGGAACUAAAAUUGAGACUAAAGCCAACAUGGAGUGCAGGGUGUGAGCUGACUCUCCUUGUGCUGCCCAUAAAUACUGAAGCUGAGCCAGAAAUCUUCUGUAACCUUUUAGUAUAUCACUACCUCCCGGUAGACUUUAAUUUUAAACAAAUUCUGUAGUGGCACUUUCACUUAAAAGGAAGCUUAAAAGGGUGGAAAUGUAAUUUCAAUCCCACCCUCAGCAUGAAGAAUUCAAAACUCCAUCUUCUGACUCCCAACCAACAACCUCAAUACUGGUUGAAGACUCAUGUGCCAGAAAGAGAAAGUAAGAAUUUACUGAGGGCCAGUGAGAGUCACCCAGGACUCUGCUCCAUGUUCCAUUUAUUGACUAGCAAAGGUAAAAUGCCAGUGUCUCUCUCCUAAGCACCUACAUCCUUCACUGGAUCCAGGCUCCUGAGUACUUUUGGGGAUCACAAGCUGAGCCUUUUCAGUGUUUGGUUUCUGUUGCACAUGAUGAGGAUUAAUGGUUGUUACCACCUGCAGAGAAGGCUUUGCUCUUUAUCUAAAGCAGGAUCAGUGUUUACUCAGUACUGUUAGCUCUCCUUACUUCGACUUGCACUGAAACCCUUUGCACACUGCCAUUACUAACUCUAACUCUCUCUAAUGUCUUUUAUCAUAGAACAGUUUUUUUUCUGAGUGACCAUUAUUUUCACAUACAGAAAAAUACACAUGGCAGAGCAAAUGCCUCUGUGCCAGCCAGGCAGGAAUGGACUCUUUGUGGACACUAUCAGGAAAUGUGCCUUUUGUUUUCCUGCACCUGUUGCUGAAUUACAGAUAAAAUAAUCCAGUGCUUUAUUAAAUAAAAUGAGAAGCCCUAAUGAAAUUGUACCAGCCAUUACCAGGAAGUCUAUUGAAAACAUUCAGCAGCUGCUUCUGUCCCAGUUCCCUUACACUGAUAGGAUUGUUUUGCCUGUGUCCUUGUGCUCUAAAUGAGGAGGGCACAGUGCCUUGGACCAUCUCACACCACUCUCCUCUCGCUCCCUGGGAAGGAUUUGGUCAGAAUCAGUAAUAAAUGAUGCUCAACAGCACCUCUGAGUUGUACAAGUUUGUUAGAAGUUGGUGUCCCAGGUCCUGCAUCUGAGUGUUUUUGCAAACAUCAGGUCAUGUACCCUGACAGCAGUAAAGCAGGUAAAAAUCUACUGGUUUAUUCUGAUUCUAUAGAGGGGAGCAGUUUGAGGCCAAUUCAAUUUAUAAGCCAUGGGAGCCUGGAACUCUAAGGUGACAGCACAAAUGUUUGGUGGUUAAUUCUGAGCCCCAAACACUUGUCCCCAGGCGGGCAGUGCUGGCACGUGGCACCUGUGCAGUGAACAGGGAGCAGAUGGCACCAUUACAGGAGUAUUUAUUAUUUGACCAUUUCAACUUUAUUUUCUCAGCGAGGCCCUGAAGACAUUAUUUCACUUAGAGGAGGAAAAGUACUUGAAACAACUUAAAGCCACUACAUUUUCUUUAAAAACUGGCCAGGGCUGCCCCCUGUGAGCCCCCAGAGCAGGUUCUGCUCUCCCCACCACACGCACCCCGCAGUCAGUACAACAGCAUUUCCUUUGCUACUUUAAUCAGUGACAACACACAAGUGGCCAGGAGUCAAUCUGUUUAGUUAAUGGGUCCUUUAAUUUUUUGCUAUAUUAAUAAAAAAGUGAUCCAAUUUAUCUGCUUCCUUAUGGAGUAAUUAUUCAGGAGAUUUAAGAAGCAAAUACACCAUAUCCAUGAAUUGUUUAUCAAUGCACUCAUGAUGAUGUAGAUAUUUGCACAACCUGAAAAAUUAGUAUCUUCAUCCAGAAUGCCGACGCUGGAAGGAUGGGAAGCAAUUUAGGAUAAGGGAAAAAAGUUCUUUAAGUCUGAUAUGAAAAUGUCAAGCUUACCCUCAUCUUCUCUGAGUGGGCUGGGGAGACAAUCAGUCUACAGUUCAAGUCAUCGAGAGGAAAGACGCCGAGUCUUAACUUCUUCCAUGCUUUAGGCAGAUCCUGCAGUCCAUCCUCCACACAGGCAGCAGGGAGGGAUGCACAGGAGAAACCCCACCAGCUGCUCCAAAUGGAUUUAUAAACAAAUCAUUAAUGGUCACUUCAUAUCAGCUCUGAGUCACCCAGCUUUUGGAGCAGAACAACACUCUCCUGCCUCUUCAGCUUAAAACUACUCCAGUUCCAGAGUACAGAGAGGUUUAACAUUAAGGCAUCCAUACAGCUCUGGUGUUUGCUUUCAUUUAAUAAAGAUCAAUUUACUCAAAUACAUGGAAUGUUGGCACAAAACUAAAGCUCUUGUGGAACAGCUACCAAUCAUACACAAAUAUUCUGUGAGGUCCUCUUGACUUGCAUUUCUCCCAUAGAUACACCACAAAAUGGCUUCAAGAAUACAAACUGAAUGCUGGAUCAAAUCUCUAAAUAAUAAGUAGCAGUUAAAGUAAAUGGUUUGCUUUAUUUGUAAAUUAUGUACAGAAUACAUUUUUUUUUUCUUAAUUAUGAUGGAGCAGGAGAAAGAAAACAGCCAUUAUUUCCAAACUGUGCUGCUUCCUUCCCCUGCAGGAGAUGACAUCUCUCUCUGCACCGGAUGUACAAAACCAGUUUGGAUUUCCUCGGUUGCUGGCACAUGGGCUGGAGAAACAGAGACACUGCAGCCAAAUUCAGCACUACCAGCUCCUCUAUUGUCAGCAAAAUACUUCUGCUAAAACUAGUUUUCUUAGGAAAGUUCUCACAAUCUUUCGAAAACAAAAUCAAGAAAAAUAUCAAGAAAGCUGUGGGCUAAGAAGGGCUUUACCUAACUAUCAAAUGAGUAUAACUAGGAAUAAUCUGAGAUUUGGUCAUUCAACUUUUACCUGGUUUACAAAAGCAAGUUUGAGAAGCUAAACUAAUUGACCAGUUAUGCAAGUACCAGAAAACGAUGUUUUUCAGUAUGUUUGAGGACAAUCUGGGCAAUCUAUCAAUCAAUAAAAAACUUGUCAGAUUGAUAAAACUUCUGUAAAUGGAUAUUAAUGAUUAACAUAGUACCAAGUAAUCAAGUUAAUGGUUAAAAAAAAAAAUGAAGGAACUAGAUAUAAAACUGUUUGGUAACACGUAUAUUUCAGCAAACGAAGAUGCUACUGUAUGGUCUAUGUUUUGGUGAUCAGCCAACAAAGAAAAUCCAACCAUUUGCACAUACUUAGUCCCAAACCGCAGUGAGUUAUGAUUUUCCAUGUGAAGGCCUACUUUCAGUAUCUUCCUCCUCUUCCUCCUCACAAUCCCCUUCAUCUGUUUGCUGUUCCAGUUCCUCUUUUGUGAUCAUUUCAAAGUCGUUUCCAUUGCCACUACUGUGCUGGGACCUGUCGUCUUCGCGCCUGUCACUGUCAGUGUCUGAGUGUCGCUCCCCUCCUGAGCCCUCCGUUCCCGAGUUCCUCGUGCCUUCUGUUUUCCCAUCCUCCUCUUCCUUCUUCUCACUAUCUGAUUUCUCCUCGCUGUCGUAUUUUUGCUGCUUUUUGGAUUCUGAUUUUUCCUCUUUCUUUGAGUCUGCUUUUGGUCCUUUGUAUUCGUGUGUGUACAGGGGCCUGAAGGAGUCAAUGAAUCCCACGUCUGCUGUCAGGUUUGGCAGGAACCAGAAGUGAUGCCUUCCUCCAGUGAUGAGCCAGAUGAUCAGGAAAAGGAUGCAGCGAGCUGUGUGAGAACAAGGGAGAUGCUGGGUUUUGUUAUGAACACAUAGAGUGUAAAACCACUGUGUAGGAGAUGCCCACUACUAAUGCCCACCCCAAGCGAGGGACUGGGUGAUGUCGGAGGAAAAUCCCUCAUUCUGCAAUAGCACUGGAAUAGUUUGUUCUUACCACGUCUCCCCCAUCCCACUAACCAAGGAUCUUAUCUCUGAUUUGGCCCUUAAUCCCUCUGCUACAGAAAUACAACCAAAGAAACCUUUAAAAUCCUGGUGACACCGUUCUCACCACAGAAUCUGUUCUUGUGUGCAGUUCUGGGGUCCUUUUGUUUAAACAGGCAGCAAACGAAUCUGCACUACACGGGAAACACCAACAGGUGACACGAGCCCGAGAUCUCCUUCUUCCCGUGGCACAACUGUGACACCCGGUGGCCGGGAGGGAAACGCACACGGGAUCCGGCAAACAACGUCCUGGGACGUGGGACCGCCCAGCUCCGAGCCCGGGAAAGAGCCGGGCUGUGCCUCUGCCCUUGCAGGCUCCGCCCGCCCGACACUCACCGACGGCAAGGAGCAGAAUACUGGCGACAAAGCAGCCCGCGCCCACGCUGAGGUAAUAAACACCGACGCGCAUCUCGGCGGGCCAGAGCGGGAACAGCGUGGCGGCUAUCACAGCAAUCACUGGGCAGGAGGGCAGAACACAAGCAGGAGAAGCAUCGUUAGUUUUCCCUGACACGUGUACAGAGGUUCCAGGCUUACUGUUCAUUCAAGAAAAGCAAAGCACAGAGAAGUAUUUAAGGCCACCAUUUCAGUUGUAAAGCCAGGACAAGAAUUCAGGAAUGCCCAAUACCUGCCUGCUCAGAUCACAAGGUCAGGCAGGUAUUUUUUAUUUCCCCUCCUGCAACUGAACAUCAUGCUCUGAAAGGCUUGUGUUUGGGUUGGAACUAUCCUGGCAUGGCAGUGGCUGGGGGAUAACUUGGGUUGGAGGGGCCUCAGGAGCCUCUGGCCCACCCUCCUGCCCCAGGCAGGGUCAGCUCCGGGCACAGAGGCUGCGGCACCGCCCGGGGCAGCUCCAACACCCCCGGGACAAACGUCUCACCUCAUGGCCACCAACACUGAAUUAAUGGUAAAUUAAAUUUUCUUUUAGAUUUCUUCAAGCUACUGUCCUACAUGUAUAUGUCUCUACCCUCCUGGCAAAUAUCUAAAAAUCUGGUUUCAAGAUCAGCCAUCGCAUUGCCAUUAAUUUUUCUUUCAGCAUGUCAAGAAAGAGUUUGUAGAAAUCCAGUACAUGAAGCUAUUUUCUGACAAUAGCACAGUGACAUUCAAAGUUGGAAAGUACCCAUAAAUCUUACCUCAU